GUCCACGCCAUAAACGAUGGGUACUAGGUGUUCGGGGUAUUGACCCCCUGAGUGCCGCAGCUAACGCAUUAAGUACCCCGCCUGGGGAAUACGGCCGCAAGGUUAAAACUCAAAGGAAUUGACGGGGGCCCGCACAAGCGGUGGAGCAUGUGGUUUAAUUCGACGCAACGCGAAGAACCUUACCUGGGCUAGACAACAUCGGACAGCCCUAGAAAUAGGGCCUUCCCGCAAGGGACUGGUGGUUCAGGUGCUGCAUGGCUGUCGU
rnacentral:rRNA from 1 species